GGGGAAUAUUGGACAAUGGGGGAAACCCUGAUCCAGCGACGCCGCGUGGGUGAAGAAGGCCUGCGGGUUGUAAAGCCCUUUCGGUGGGGAAGAAAAGCCUCGACCUAAUACGUCGGGGUCUUGACGUAACCCACAAAAGAAGCACCGGCUAACUCUGUGCCAGCAGCCGCGGUAAUACAGAGGGUGCGAGCGUUAAUCGGAAUUACUGGGCGUAAAGCGCGCGUAGGCGGCUCUGCAAGUCGGGUGUGAAAUCCCCGGGCUCAACCUGGGAACUGCAUUCGAUACUGCAUUGCUAGAGUAUGGGAGAGGGAAGUGGAAUUUCAGGUGUAGCGGUGAAAUGCGUAGAUAUCUGAAGGAACAUCAGUGGCGAAAGCGACUUCCUGGACCAAUACUGACGCUCAUGUGCGAAAGCGUGGGGAGCAAA
rnacentral:rRNA from 1 species